CCUACGGGUGGCAGCAGUGGGGAAUAUUGGGCAAUGGGCGCAAGCCUGACCCAGCAACGCCGCGUGAAGGAAGAAUGCUUUCGGGUUUGAAACUUCUUUUUUCAAGGAAGAGUAGAAGACGGUACCUGACGAAUAAGCCACGGCUAACUACGUGCCAGCAGCCGCGGUAAUACGUAGGUGGCAAGCGUUGUCCGGAUUUACUGGGUGUAAAGGGCGUGUAGCCGGGUUGACAAGUCAGAUGUGAAAUCCUGCGGCUUAACCGCAGAACUGCAUUUGAAACUGUUGAUCUUGAGUACUGGAGAGGCAGACGGAAUUCGUAGUGUAGCGGUGAAAUGCGUAGAUAUUAGGAGGAACACCAGUGGCGAAGGCGGUCUGCUGGACAGCAACUGACGGUGAGGCGCGAAAGCGUGGGGAGCAAACAGGAUUAGAUACCCUAGUAGUC
rnacentral:rRNA from 1 species